rnacentral:rRNA from 1 species
GUAGGAUCCGAGCGUUAUCCGAAUUUACUGGGCGUAAGCGCGUGUAGGCGGUUGGGUAAGUUGGAUGUGAAAGCUCCCGGCUCAACUGGGAGAGGUCGUUCAAUACUGCCGAACUAGAGGAUGGUAGAGGGAGGUGGAAUUCCCGGUGUAGUGGUGAAAUGCGUAGAUAUCGGGAGGAACACCAGUGGCGAAGGCGGCCUCCUGGGCCAUUCCUGACGCUCAGACGCGAAAGCUAGGGGAGCAAACGGGAUUAGAAACCCCGGGUAGUCCUAGCCGUAAACGAUGUGGACUUGGCGUUGGUGGGGGUAAAAGCCCAUCAGUGCCGUAGCUAACGCGAUAAGUCCACCGCCUGGGGACUACGACCGCAAGGUUA